GAGUAAUUAUUCAGUCUCCAGACAACCUUUCAACUCCUCUGUGAUUCUGAAGCUCUGGCGAGCCUGUGAAGUGAGCCACAGACGGCAGCUCUCAUGCUUGGAUUUGGCAUGCAGGAUGCCUUUCUCCCUGAACCAUCAUGGUGCCAAUACAAGGAUUUGAAAAAAAGAAACAUGAAGGAAAAAUCUCACAGUAACUGAUGCAAAAGGAACAAUGGUAUCAAACCAAACAAGACCUUAGGUGAAUGACUUGUCUGAGGUCACAUGAGCAUAAGUGGAUGGACUAGAAAGUGAACCCAAGAAAUUCAAAGUAAGGAUCUGACCUUCACUCACCGCUGCAAUAUACCAUACACUUGUGGUACCUCUGACCUGUGCACCAGGAGUCACACAGUUGUGAAUGCCUACUAGGUACAGAAGCCAAACAACUUGAAAAGAGUGACAAUGGAAAACAAAGAAGGAACUGAUGGGGUAAAUCAAGCAGGAAAUCAAGUGUGGCUUCAACAUCUCGAAAGUUAAGAGAGAGUGAGACAGAAGUGGCAAAAGAUGGGGAUUCUCUUCCGCGUUUUUCAGGUGGGGGGAUAUGAAAAAGCAAUAGUGAAAAGACAAGAUUGUCAGGGGAUAAGGAAGAAGUAGAAGCUGAGAAAGAAGAGAGUAAAAAUACUGUUCUGAGAAGUUUGAGAGCAAUAUAAUGUCAAUGUGAAAGUUUACUGAAUGGAGAGUUGAUUUAACUACCCUGAUUUGAUCAUUAUAGACUCUGUAUACAUGCAUUGAAUUAUUAUUCUGUACCCCACAAA